UGCAUUUGUGUUUAUGUGUACAUGUACAUAUAUGUGUAUGAGAUUAUAUACAAAUAAUGCAUGUAAAAAUAUAUGUAUGUGCA
rnacentral:miRNA from 1 species